AUAGCGUAUAUUAAAGUUGUUGCAGUUAAAAAGCUCGUAGUUGAACUUCAGGCCUUGGCUGGCGGUCCGCCUCACGGCGUGUACUGUCGGCUGGGGCCUUCCCUCUUGGUGAACCCUCAUGCCCUUUAUUGGGUGUGGGGGGGAACCAGGACUUUUACUUUGAAAAAAUUAGAGUGUUCAAAGCAGGCCUAUGCCCGAAUACAUUAGCAUGGAAUAAUAAAAUAGGACGUGCGGUUCUAUUUUGUUGGUUUCUAGGAUCGCCGUAAUGAUUAAUAGGGAUAGUUGGGGGCAUUAGUAUUCAGUUGCUAGAGGUGAAAUUCUUAGACCACAGCAAGACGAACUACUG
rnacentral:rRNA from 1 species